AUACGUAGGGGGCGAGCGUUGUCCGGAAUGAUUGGGCGUAAAGGGCGCGUAGGCGGCCCGGUAAGUCUGGAGUGAAAGUCCUGUUUUUAAGAUGGGAAUUGCUUUGGAUACUGUCGGGCUUGAGUGCAGGAGAGGUAAGUGGAAUUCCCAGUGUAGCGGUGAAAUGCGUAGAGAUUGGGAGGAACACCAGUGGCGAAGGCGACUUACUGGACUGUAACUGACGCUGAGGCGCGAAAGUGUGGGGAGCAGACAGGAUUAGAUACCCUGGUAGUCCACACGGUAAACGAUGAAUGCUAGGUGUAGGGGGUAUCGACCCCUUCUGUGCCGCAGUCAACACAAUAAGCAUUCCGCCUGGGGAGUACGGCCGCAAGGUUGAAACUCAAAGGAAUUGACGGGG
rnacentral:rRNA from 1 species